rnacentral:rRNA from 1 species
UGGGGAAUAUUGCACAAUGGAGGAAACUCUGAUGCAGCGACGCCGCGUGAGUGAAGAAGUAAUUCGUUAUGUAAACUUCUUUUAUCAGGGACGAAGUAAGUGACGGUACCUGAUGAAUAAGCCACGGCUAACUACGUGCCAGCAGCCGCGGUAAUACGUAGGUGGCAAGCGUUAUCCGGAUUUACUGGGUGUAAAGGGCGCGUAGGCGGGGAUACAAGUCAGAUGUGAAAUCUAUGGGCUUAACCCAUAAACUGCAUUUGAAACUGUAUCUCUUGAGUGUCGGAGAGGUAGACGGAAUUCCUAGUGUAGCGGUGAAAUGCGUAGAUAUUAGGAGGAACACCAGUGGCGAAGGCGGUCUACUGGACGAUAACUGACGCUGAGGCGCGAAAGCGUGGGGAGCAAACAGGAUUAGAUACCCUGGUAGU